GGAGAAUUCAUCGUCAACUCCUGCAAACUGUUUCAAACCAGACAACACGUUCAUCCCGCAGAUAAAACAGCUGAGUGAAUGAAUCUUGGUGUAGCUCACAUCAGUGAGCGCUGCAUGCCGACCACAGGCUGGUGGCACCAUGGGGUGCAUGACAAUGAGCCACAUCUCCGUCAGAUGCCAUUAGAAAUCAAUGUCCACAAGGCUGCAAGUCCUGAUGGCAUCC